CCUACGGGGUGCUGCAGUGAGGAAUAUUGGUCAAUGGACGAGAGUCUGAACCAGCCAAGUAGCGUGAAGGAUGACUGCCCUAUGGGUUGUAAACUUCUUUUAUAUGGGAAUAAAAUGUUCCACGUGUGGGAUUUUGUAUGUACCAUAUGAAUAAGGAUCGGCUAACUCCGUGCCAGCAGCCGCGGUAAUACGGAGGAUCCGAGCGUUAUCCGGAUUUAUUGGGUUUAAAGGGAGCGUAGGUGGAUUGUUAAGUCAGUUGUGAAAGUUUGCGGCUCAACCGUAAAAUUGCAGUUGAAACUGGCAGUCUUGAGUACAGUAGAGGUGGGCGGAAGUCGUGGUGUAGCGGUGAAAUGCUUAGAUAUCACGAAGAACUCCGAUUGCGAAGGCAGUUCACUGGACUGCAACUGACACUGAGGCUCGAAAGUGUGGGUAUCAAACAGGAUUAGAUACCCCUGUAGUC
rnacentral:rRNA from 1 species